CACGCACAACACAGUCGUUCGUGAGCCAAUUUGCGACGGAAGCAUUUCGCAAGAGUUUUUUAAGCUUUCUCUUCUCUAUGUUGUUCUUCGAUUACUUCCAUUUAAGGUGGAACAAAUUUUUCAGAGAUUACAAAAAAAUUUACGCACUAUUUUUAAUUCCAUUUGUUAGUUCGAAAACAUUCAGAUAGCUGAGCCUAAGCUGUUGGAGUUGAGUAUCCUAACAGAGUGGCCCAAAGUUCAGUAUAUAAGUUCACUUGUACCUUCUUUGUUUCCUAAAAAUGUUUACCAGUUCAUUGUAUAAUUCCAUAAUGAACUUGAGGUUGCAAAAUCUGAGAUUAAGAAGUGGCAUUUUUCAUUUCAAAAUGAACCUUUUAUGUCUGCUGGGACCACUCCAGCACCAAAAUUGGUGAUUAAUUAUCUUCAAGAUCUGAAAUCACCUGAAGAGUCUUUAAGAGAGCAGCUUGAAAAAGCAAAGAAAAAGGAAGCUGCAUUCAUUGUCACAUUUGCAAAACGAGAACAAGAGAUAGCAGAGUUGAAGGAUCCUUGUCGCCCUGGAGUCAAGGAUGCUGUGAGAGUAUGCAUUGAAGCUGGCAUUAAGGGACAUUGAGAGUUCUGUUGCUGUAUUUGAAUGCGUUCCCAAGAGAACUUUGGAGUGUUUCAACUCAUUGAUGACCUUUGUCUCAUUGUGAUGCGGUUGGUGAUGUGGUUGAAUUUUUUGCUUUGAUGAUUGAUGAAGGUCUUGUGCCGGAUGAAGUAACCAUAUGAACAACACUGAAGGCGGUGUCAGUGUCUGCUUCAGCAAGCUUCAUGAGUUCCCAGUUACUGCGUUGUUAUGCAUUAAAGUCUGGACUUGGAGGAGAAGCUGCAGUUGCAUUCCUUAGAGACUUGGAUUAUAUGUCAUUCACUUCUCUUUCAGGGCGGCAAAGUGGAGAUAGUGCAAAAUCAUUCCUUAGAGAAGAAUGCAUUUAUAAGGAAAAAUCAGAGAGGGAUAGGAAAAUUGAAGAGUGGCUUCCAAAUGGUGGUACUCAGCUUUCCACAAUGUUACUGCCAUGGUUGGAGCUCGUGUUCUUGGUCUUCCCUAUGCUGUGUCAGAGCUUGGAUGGUAUAUUUAAA